rnacentral:rRNA from 1 species
GGGUCAGUAGGGUGGUCGUGCCACCGGUACGUACUGGUCUAACUGAUUCCUCCUUCCUGAAGAACCGUAAUGCCAUUAAUUUGGUGUUGCGGGGAAACAGGACUGUUACUUUGAAAAAACUAGAGUGUUUAAAGCAAGCUAACGCUUGAAUACAUUAGCAUGGAAUAAUGAAAUAGGACGUUCGAUCCUAUUUUGUUGGUUUCUAGGAUUGACGUA